GACGUAGGGUGCGAGCGUUGUCCGGAUUUAUUGGGCGUAAAGAGCUCGUAGGCGGCUCGUCGCGUCGACCGUGAAAACCCGCGGCUUAACUGCGGGCUUGCGGUUGAUACGGGCGGGCUAGAGUUCGGUAGGGGAGACUGGAAUUCCUGGUGUAGCGGUGAAAUGCGCAGAUAUCAGGAGGAACACCAGCGGCGAAGGCGGCAUCCUGGACUGGUCCUGACACUCAGGAGCGAAAGCGUGGGGAGCGAUCCGG
rnacentral:rRNA from 1 species